rnacentral:lncRNA from 1 species
CCUGAAAAAUACUUCUGAAGAGAAUAAACAAAUUACGGAUAAAUAAAACUUCACUAAAAUGACAAAAAAAAAUCUAAAGAAGAGCAUAAGAUGGAGAAACAAAUAAACUUUGAAUCUGAAAUACAAAGAUUCUCCAAAAUUCUCUUAAUUUUAUCGUUGUUAUUCUUAACUAUCUAAAAUUCGUGUACAAAUAUAACUAAAAUAUUCCUAGAAUAAUCAGAGUUAGACUGAAAAAAAUUUAUUAGAAUUUAACUAAGAGAAGAAACUCGGUUAAGUGGGAAACAUGUCACCACGUUGUGACGUCACCAUGGGCUCGUCGGGAUGUGGUGUUACUUCUCGCCGGUACAUUAUAGUCGCGUCGCCGGGACGACGAAUCUUCUUCAUCACGACAUCAACUCUGUUUCAUCUUAAAUGCGAGUCACACUCUAUAUAUAUAUAUAUAAUUGUUAUGGUUGAUGAAGAAAUUGCAGAACAUGCAUAGACAUAUUUGAAGAAGAUGAGCCUGUGGAUGUCAAUGUGCAAUUUCGUG